rnacentral:rRNA from 1 species
UACGUAGGGACCGAGCGUUGUCCGGAAUCAUUGGGCGUAAAGAGCGUGUAGGCGGCUAUUUAAGUCCUGCGUGAAAUCCUGCGGCUCAACCGCAGACGGUCGUGGGAAACUGGAUGGCUAGAGUGCGGGAGAGGAGAGUGGAAUUCCCGGUGUAGCGGUGAAAUGCGCAGAUAUCGGGAAGAACACCUGUGGCGAAAGCGGCUCACUGGACCAUAACUGACGCUGAUGCACGAAAGCUAGGGGAGCAAACAGG